GGCAGUGGUAGUUCAGUGGUUAAGAUGGUGGACUACUGCUCAGAAGGAUAUGAGUUCAAAUCCCAGCACUGCUA